rnacentral:lncRNA from 1 species
AGAAAAGCAACCCAGGACUUCAGGGUAAGAAUGUGAUGUCAGCACAAGUGUCUAAUUCCUCUCCUUCCAGGUCCCCAUUAAAAUGACCGAUAGGUAUAAAAAGAAGAGAAAAGACUGCGCCCAGUGCUGACGCUUAGGAAGGCACACCGAAUCUCCAAGAAUUUCUGUUUGAUGAGAAUGAAUCGAAAGAAAAGGCAAACUCGUGACCCUCCCAGGGUGGAAGAGGGGCCGCAUGCAGACAGGAUGUGAAGCCUCUGCAGCUGGGACAGCGCCUCAGUUCUGCGGGAAGCAGCAUCCCAGAGUGAACCUCAGAUCAGGGCAGAGCUCCUGGAGCCCAUGGAUGAUGUCUGUGUUUUCAGGACAGGGAGGCAUAUGCCCCUUCUGCCACUCUGGUUUGGAUGACCUCGGACUGCUUCUCUCUUUGCAGCUUCCACUCUGAAUCUAAACCCAACUUGAAGGGAUUCAUGUUGAAGUUCAAAGCAGUCUGGUAACAGAUUAAAAAUGUGUUUCCCAGUUGAAGGCUCUCUCUAUUCGCUCCUAAAACAAGAAACUGGCCAGAGAGUGGGGGUGGGGGGACCCAAGGAGGGGCUGGGAAAGGGGCAGUGCAGGAGAGGAUGGGAGGGGGUUCAACCCUAGAUGAAAACAUGGUCCAGUAAAACUUUUUUCUGAUAGUGGACAUGUUCUAUGUCUGCGCUAAUAUGAUAGAUACUAGCUGUACAUACUAAGCACUGGAAAUGGGGUUAGUGUGAUUGGGGAACGGAACUUUUUAUAUAAUUAAAUUUUCAUUAAUUUAGAUUUGUAUGGAAAUAACUGAUGUGGCCAUUGCCCACCACAUUGGCUAGUAUAGGCCUCUGUCUUUUCUUUGAAUACGCAAGUUUAUAUGUUCUUUACCAACAUAGAUUUAAAAAAUCCCCACAUUUUAUUUAUAUCGAUCGAAAAAGAAUGCCCGGAA